ensembl:misc_RNA Metazoa_SRP Metazoan signal recognition particle RNA
GCUGGGCAUAGUGGCAUGUGCCUGUAAUCCCAGCUACUCAGGAGGCUGAGGCAGGAGAAUUGCUUGUACCCGGGAGGUGGAGGUUGCAGUGAGCCAAGAUCGCGCCACUGCACUCCAGCCUGGGUGACAGAGCAAGACUCUGUCUUCA